rnacentral:rRNA from 1 species
UACGUAGGGUGCGAGCGUUAAUCGGAAUUACUGGGCGUAAAGCGUGCGCAGGCGGCGCCAUAAGACAGAUGUGAAAUCCCCGGGCUUAACCUGGGAACUGCACUUGUGACUGUACGGCUGGAGUACGGCAGAGGGGGAUGGAAUUCCGCGUGUAGCAGUGAAAUGCGUAGAUAUGCGGAGGAACACCGAUGGCGAAGGCAGUCCCCUGGGCCUGUACUGACGCUCAUGCACGAAAGCGUGGGGAGCAAAC